GACGUAGGGCGCGAGCGUUGUCCGGAUUUAUUGGGCGUAAAGAGCUCGUAGGCGGCUUGUCGCGUCGUCCGUGAAAACCCACAGCUCAACUGUGGGCUUGCGGUCGAUACGGGCAGGCUAGAGUUCGGUAGGGGAGACUGGAAUUCCUGGUGUAGCGGUGAAAUGCGCAGAUAUCAGGAGGAACACCGGUGGCGAAGGCGGGUCUCUGGGCCGAUACUGACGCUGAGGAGCGAAAGCAUGGGGAGCAAACGGG
rnacentral:rRNA from 1 species